AGAAGACCCCAUGGAGCUUUAAACCCAAUAGCACCCGAUUAUUGUAUAACCUUAUAUAUGUCCGGCCUUUGUCUACUUGGUUUUAGGUUGGGGUGACCACGGAGCAUAAAAAAGCCUCCAUGAAGAAAGGAGUAAGUAUCCUUAUCAGAGAAUGACACUUCCAAGAAUUAAUAAACUAAUUUUUAAUGAUCCGAUAUUCGAUCAACGAACCAAGUUACCCUGGGGAUAACAGCGCAAUCCACCUCAAGAGCCCCUAUCGACAGGUGGGUUUACGACCUCGAUGUUGGAUCAGGGUAUCCCAGUGGUGCAGCAGCUACUGAAGGUUCGUUUGUUCAACGAUUAAAACCCU
rnacentral:rRNA from 1 species